rnacentral:rRNA from 1 species
UACAGAGGUCUCAAGCGUUGUUCGGAUUCAUUGGGCGUAAAGGGUGCGUAGGCGGUGAGGCAAGUCUGGUGUGAAAUCCCGGAGCUCAACUCCGGAACUGCACUGGAUACUGCUUUACUAGAGCACUGGAGAGGGAACUGGAAUUUACGGUGUAGCAGUGAAAUGCGUAGAUAUCGUAAGGAAGACCAGUGGCGAAGGCGAGUUCCUGGACAGUUGCUGACGCUGAGGCACGAAGGCCAGGGGAGCAAACGGGAUUAGAAACCCCUGUAGUCC